rnacentral:rRNA from 1 species
CGCUAGCUACGAGGCGUUAACACAUGGCAAGUCGAGGGGCAGCAUGGUCUUAGCUUGCUAAGACUGAUGGCGACCGGCGCACGGGUGAGUAACGCGUAUCCAACCUUCCCCCUGGUAGGGCAUAAGCCCGGCGAAAGUCGGAUUAAUACCCUAUGUUAUCCGAAGAGGACAUCUGAUUCGGAUCAAAGAUUUAUCGCCAUGGGAUGGGGAUGCGUCCGAUUAGGUUGACGGCGGGGUGACGGCCCACCGUGCCCGCGAUCGGUAGGGGUUCUGAGAGGAAGGUCCCCCACAUUGGAACUGAGACACGGUCCAAACUCCUACGGGAGGCAGCAGUGAGGAAUAUUGAUCAAUGGGCGUAAGCCUGAACCAGCCAAAAGUAGCGUGCGGGACGACGGCCCUAUGGGUUGUAAACCGCUUUUGCAGGGGAAUAAAGUGUGGGACGUGUCCCAUUUUGCAUGUACCCUGAGAAUAAGGACCGGCUAAUUCCGUGCCAGCCGCGGC